rnacentral:rRNA from 1 species
AGCGAACGCUGGCGGCAGGCUUAACACAUGCAAGUCGAACGGGCACUUCGGUGCUAGUGGCAGACGGGUGAGUAACACGUGGGAACGUACCUUUCGGUUCGGAAUAAUUCAGGGAAACUUGGACUAAUACCGGAUACGCCCUUCGGGGGAAAGAUUUAUCGCCGAUAGAUCGGCCCGCGUCUGAUUAGCUAGUUGGUGAGGUAAUGGCUCACCAAGGCGACGAUCAGUAGCUGGUCUGAGAGGAUGAUCAGCCACAUUGGGACUGAGACACGGCCCAAACUCCUACGGGAGGCAGCAGUGGGGAAUAUUGGACAAUGGGCGCAAGCCUGAUCCAGCCAUGCCGCGUGAGUGAUGAAGGCCUUAGGGUUGUAAAGCUCUUUUGUCCGGGAAGAUAAUGACUGUACCGGAAGAAUAAGCCCCGGCUAACUUCGUGCCAGCCGCCGCCGUAAUAC